rnacentral:tRNA from 1 species
GGGGUCAUAGCUCAGUUGGUAGAGCGCGACGCUCGCAUUGUCGAGGUCGGGGGUUCGAUUCCCCCUGACUCCACCA